rnacentral:rRNA from 1 species
GAGGUAGUCACAGGGAUUGCCCCAGUAACGGCGAGUGAAGCGGCAACAGCUCAGAUUUGAAAUCUGGCCCCUCUGGGGUCCGAGUUGUAAUCUGUAGAGGAUGCUUUUGGCGACGCGCCUUCCGAGUCCCCUGGAACGGGGCGCCAGAGAGGGUGAGAGCCCCGUAUGGUUGGACGCCGAGCCUCUGUAAAGCUCCUUCGACGAGUCGAGUAGUUUGGGAAUGCUGCUCAAAAUGGGAGGUAAAUUUCUUCUAAAGCUAAAUACCGGCCAGAGACCGAUAGCGCACAAGUAGAGUGAUCGAAAGAUGAAAAGCACUUUGAAAAGAGGGUUAAAUAGCACGUGAAAUUGCUGAAAGGGAAGCGCUUGUGACCAGACUUGCGCCCGGCUGAUCAUCCAGCGUUCUCGCUGGUGCACUCUGCCGGGCUCAGGCCAGCAUCGGCUCUCCCAGGGGGAUAAAGGUCGCGGGAACGUAGCUCCCUCCGGGGAGUGUUAUAGCCCGCGGCGGAAUGCCCUUAGGGGGGGCCGAGGCCCGCGUUCGCAAGGAUGCUGGCGUAAUGGUCACCAGCGACCCGUCUUGAAACACGGACCAAGGAGUCAAGCAUUAGGGCGAGUCUUUGGGUGUAAAACCCGCAGGCGCAAUGAAAGUGAACGGAGGUGAGAGCUUCGGCGCAUCAUCGACCGAUCCUGAUGUUCUCGGAUGGAUUUGAGUAAGAGCCUUACCGCUUGGACCCGAAAGAUGGUGAACUAUGCCUGAAUAGGGUGAAGCCAGAGGAAACUCUGGUGGAGGCUCGCAGCGGUUCUGACGUGCAAAUCGAUCGUCAAAUUUGGGCAUGGGGGCGAAAGACUAAUCGAACCUCUAUAGUGUACGGCG